UCCCUGGUGGCUCAGAUGUGAAGAAUCUGCCUGUAAUGCAGGAGACCCAGGUUCGAUCCCUGGGUCGGGAA
rnacentral:tRNA from 1 species